rnacentral:rRNA from 1 species
CCCCCUUCGGGGUCUCUGUGAAGGUGCUGCAUGGUUGUCGUCAGCUCGUGCCGUGAGGUGUCGGCUUAAGUGCCAUGACGAGCGCAACCCCUCUCUUCAGUUGCCAUCAGGUGAUGCUGGGCACUCUGGAGACACUGCCACCGUAAGGUGUGAGGAAGGUGGGGAUGACGUCAAAUCAGCACGGCCCUUACGUCCGGGGCUACACACGUGUUACAAUGGCCGGUACAGAGGGAUGGUGUAAUGCAAAUUGCAUCAAAUCUUGAAAGCCGGUCCCAGUUCGGACUGGGGUCUGCAACCCGACCCCACGAAGCUGGAUUCGCUAGUAAUCGCGCAUCAAAACAUGGCGCGGUGAAUACGUUCCCGGGCCUUGUACACACCGCAAUGUCAAGCCAUGAAAGCCGGGGGUGCCUGACAUGGCGGCCGCGGGAAUUCGAUUGGUUANCNNGUNACGACUUUNACUUNUNANCNAUGANNAANCUCUA